rnacentral:rRNA from 1 species
GAUGAACGCUGGCGGCGUGCCUAAUACAUGCAAGUCGAGCGAACGGACGAGAAGCUUGCUUUUCUGAUGUUAGCGGCGGACGGGUGAGUAACACGUGGAUAACCUACCUAUAAGGCUGGGAUAACUUCGGGAAACCGGAGCUAAUACCGGAUAAUAUUUUGAACCGCAUGGUUCAAAAGUGAAAGACGGUCUUGCUGUCACUUAUAGAUGGAUCCGCGCUGCAUUAGCUAGUUGGUAAGGUAACGGCUUACCAAGGCAACGAUGCAUAGCCGACCUGAGAGGGUGAUCGGCCACACUGGAACUGAGACACGGUCCAGACUCCUACGGGGGGCAGCAGUAGGGAAUCUUCCGCAAUGGGCGAAAGCCUGACGGAGCAACGCCGCGUGAGUGAUGAAGGUCUUCGGAUCGUAAAACUCUGUUAUUAGGGAAGAACAUAUGUGUAAGUAACUGUGCACAUCUUGACGGUACCUAAUCAGAAAGCCACGGCUAACUACGUG